rnacentral:rRNA from 1 species
UGGGCGUAAGCGCACGCAGGCGGUCUGUCAAGUCGGAUGUGAAAUCCCCGGGCUCAACCUGGGAACUGCAUCCGAAACUGGCAGGCUUGAGUCUUGUAGAGGGGGGUAGAAUUCCAGGUGUAGCGGUGAAAUGCGUAGAGAUCUGGAGGAAUACCGGUGGCGAAGGCGGCCCCCUGGACAAAGACGGACGCUCAGGUGCGAAAGCGUGGGGAGCAAACAGGAUUAGAUACCCUGGUAGUCCACGCCGUACACGAUGUCGACUUGGAGGUUGUGCCCUUGAUGCGUGGCUUCCGGAGCUAACGCGUUAAGUCNACCGCCUGGGGAGUACGGCCGCAAGGUUAAAACUCAAA